AUUGAACGCUGGCGGCAGGCCUAACACAUGCAAGUCGAGCGAGCGGCGGACGGGUGAGUAAUGUCUGGGAAACUGCCUGAUGGAGGGGGAUAACUACUGGAAACGGUAGCUAAUACCGCAUACCAUCAGAUGUGCCCAGAUGGGAUUAGCUGGAUGGUGGGGUAACGGCUCACAUAGGCGACGAUGCCUAGCUGGUCUGAGAGGAUGACCAGCCAGACUGGAACUUGUACACGGUCCAGACUCCUAAGGGAGGCAGCAGAGGGGAAUAUUGCACAAUGGGAGCAAGCCUGAUGCAGCCAAGCCGCGUGUGUGAAGAAGGCCUUCGGGUUGUAAAGCACUGUCAGCGGGGAGGCGUUACCCGCAGAAGAAGCACCGGCUAACUCCGUGCCAGCAGCCGCGGUAAUUC
rnacentral:rRNA from 1 species